rnacentral:rRNA from 1 species
GAACUCUGAGACAGGUGCUGCAUGGCUGUCGUCAGCUCGUGUUGUGAAAUGUUGGGUUAAGUCCCGCAACGAGCGCAACCCUUAUCCUUUGUUGCCAGCGAUUCGGUCGGGAACUCAAAAGAGACUGCCGGUGAUAAACCGGAGGAAGGUGGGGAUGACGUCAAGUCAUCAUGGCCCUUACGAGUAGGGCUACACACGUGCUACAAUGGCGUAUACAAAGAGAAGCGACCUCGCGAGAGCAAGCGGAACUCAUAAAGUACGUCGUAGUCCGGAUUGGAGUCUGCAACUCGACUCCAUGAAGUCGGAAUCGCUAGUAAUCGUAGAUCAGAAUGCUACGGUGAAUACGUUCCCGGGCCUUGUACACACCGCCCGUCACACCAUGGGAGUGGGUUGCAAAAGAAGUAGGUAGCUUAACCUUCGGGAGGGCGCUUACCACUUUGUGAUUCAUGACUGGGGUGAAGUCGUAACAAGGUAACCGUAGGGGAACCUGCGGUUGGAUCACCUCCUUA